AGCAGUCGCCGCGGUAAUACGUAGGUGGCGAGCGUUGUCCGGAAUCAUUGGGCGUAAAGGGAGCGCAGGCGGGCAUGUAAGUCCUUCUUAAAAGUUCGGGGCUCAACCCCGUGAUGGGAAAGAAACUACAUGUCUUGAGUACAGGAGAGGAGAGCGGAAUUCCCAGUGUAGCGGUGAAAUGCGUAGAUAUUGGGAGGAACACCAGUGGCGAAGGCGGCUUUCUGGACUGCAACUGACGCUGAGGCUCGAAAGCCAGGGGAGCGAACGGGAUUAGAUACCCGUGUAGUCCCUGUCUCUUAUACC
rnacentral:rRNA from 1 species